AUGAUGGGAGGUGGCGAUCUACUGGUCCAUCCUCAUGAUGCAGCGCAGGCCCUCCCCCUUGAGCAUGAGGUCGAAUGCCGUGUUGAUCUGCGAGAAGGGCACGCUAUGCGUGAUGAACUUCUCCAGCUCCAGCUCCUUCCUCAUGUACAUCUCCACGACUUCCGGGAGGUCGGUGCGCGGCUUGUAGUUGCCGAAGAAGGUGCCUUUGAGGGUCCUCUCGUUGAGGAAGUUCAUUGGGUAGGUCUUGAACACCGCCUCCUUGUGCGGCACGCCCACCAGCACAGCCACGCCCCACCCCUGCAUCCACCAGAUUGCAACAUUCAGUCUAAACUCUUGUAA
rnacentral:rRNA from 1 species